rnacentral:rRNA from 1 species
AUUGAACGCUGGCGGCAGGCCUAACACAUGCAAGUCGAGCGGGGAGGCGGACGGGUGAGUAAUGCCUAGGAAUCUGCCUGGGCGUGGGGGCUAACGUACGGAAACGGGCGCUAAUACCGAAUACUAUCAGAUGAGACUAUGUCGGAUUAGCUAGUUGGUGGGGUAACGGCCUACCAAGGCGAGGAUCCGUAACUGGUCUGGGAGGAUGAUCAGUCACACUGCAACUGAGACACGGUCCAGACUCCUACGGUAGGCAGCAGUGGGGAAUAUUGGACAAUGGGCUAAAGCCUGAUCCAGCCAUGCCGCGUGGGUGAAGAAGGUCUUCGGAUUGUAAAGCACUUUAAGUUGGUAGGCGUUACCAACAGAAUAAGCACCGGCUAACUUCGUGCCAGCAGCCGCGGUAAUUC